AUGUUAUUUUUCAAUCUUGGCUUGCACUUCAUAAAUCCCUGUCUGCAGCUUCUGCUUUGUCUCCAUAUUCAUAUCCGAGUGCUGUCAUAUUUGCUGGUUUUCUUAAGAAUUGUGCUGCUGGUGUUCAGACAAUUCACUGCUGCCAUGAUGGUGGCAUCGCUGCAGGGCGGUUGUGCUGUGUUUGCAGUGACAGAGCCUGAUGUUCAAAGCUUGGCUUCAUCCAGUUGCUUUAAUGGGAUAGCAAGUGAAUGCCUGCCUGCAAGCUACAGCAGCCGCGAUGCCAAGUCUGCUAAGGAAGCCUGCAUUUCAGAGUGGGUGAGUGGGCAGUGUACAAAGGACUUCCUGAGGAAGAGCCAAGUCAAAGAGAUUGGGCUGUACCCCUGUACCCAAAAUGGCUGUACCCCUGAUUUGCCGAGGCUUGGAACAACAAUCAAAUGA
rnacentral:lncRNA from 1 species